rnacentral:lncRNA from 1 species
AAGUACUCUGACAAGCAAAAACAUGUUCUGACUGGAUCCAAGAAUUAGUUAAAAGUGUUGAAAAAAUACAAAAUCAAAUAGGAGCAAAACAAAAUGCCAUACGCCGAGUACCGGCCCAGCAGUGGAAACAUGGUUCGAUGCCAGGCAUGGCACCGAUCUUGUCAUUGUAAAUACUAGCAAUCACAUUUAUCAUCCGAUUUCGGUGGGUGGAUUAGAAGGCGGACGGAAAAUGUCAUGAACCCGGCGGGCUAUGCCGGAAAAUGGAGGGCAAGUAACCGGUGAGCGAUCGUGGAAGCAAUCCUCCUUGCAGAAGAGAAUGAAACGUCAAGUAAUAAAAAGGUGGAGGAGGACGAAAAAAAACUCCCGGCAGCGAUCCUGAUCCGCCAAAAAAUGUUAUCAAUGGAACUGGUGAGUAGUGUUUUUUGGCGGAGUUGUGCCAGGAGUGAUUUGGAUGACGA